rnacentral:rRNA from 1 species
UACGUAGGGACCAAGCGUUGUCCGGAAUCAUUGGGCGUAAAGAGCGUGUAGGCGGCUUGUUAAGUCUUGCGUGAAAUCUCGGGGCUCAACCCCGAGCGGUCGUGAGAAACUGGCAGGCUAGAGUGCGGGAGAGGAGAGUGGAAUUCCUGGUGUAGCGGUGAAAUGCGCAGAUAUCUGGAGGAACACCGGUGGCGAAGGCGGCAUCCUGGACCGGCAUUGACGCUGAGGCGCGAAAGCCAGGUGAGCAAACGGG